CAAAAAACUGUGUCACCUGUUCCAUUAGCUUUUCUCCCUCUUUGUUCUUGGUGCUAUCUGAUGUAAUAAUUAUCUCAGAGGAAUGCAACAGAGAGAAGAAAGUCAACUUCAAAGCUCUCUUUCUGCCUAGACCUCAUGCAUAGCAGCAAGUUACAGCUGACUUCAUUACUCUCAAGAAUUCCUCAUGGGAGAAAUGAUCUUUACACACAACUUUGAUUUCCAUGGGACACAUACUGUGAUUUUUACUUGGAGAAUAACCAAAAUUGGAAACAAGAAGACAUAAGUAUGCAGAACAAUGGAAACUUUUCUUCUGGUUCCAAGGAAAAAAGGUGCAACUGCCUGUCUUGAUACCCCUAUAUUCCUGUGAAACCCACUUGUCCCCUGAGGUUACCUGAAGAUGAUGUAUCAGUCGGAAUGCCUUUGACAAGUUCCAGUGUCAGCUGUGUUGGCUUAAACAAAAAGUACUGCAUAAGCUUCCAUAAAAAGAAAUCUCGAGGCAGGCAGCCGGUGGCUGAAUCUUUCCAUGUUCUGAUAUACCAGUCAGUCUAAGGUUUAUCCGACCUCCACUCGCUCUGUGGUUGUAGGAUGGCUAUGAAAUGCCUGUAUCUUCAUUCACUUGACUCUUCAGAGCCCUUUAAUUCAUUUCCCCAACAAUUGCAAAUCUCAAUAUUUGCAUGUUAAUAAGAUCUGCUGAAGAAAAACAUUCCUAUCUGCUCUCAUUUUUUUGCAGCACAAAAUCAUGACAGUGACUGGGUUUCAUCAUUUUUUUGCUCACAAAUUUCUACACACGGAGGGGAGCAAUCAUCAGAUUUAUCUUAAGAAUAAUUUCAACUUUAUAAUACUUUCAGAAGCCAUAGAUACAAUCAAUUUUGAUUUUAAAUACUAUUUCUUUUCCUCAGUUUCACUUUAUUUUGUUUUCCUUUUAGCUAGUUCAAUGUCUAUAGUUUGUCAGUAAGAAAUGAACACAUUAAUAAGAGUAUUUAUAGGAAAUAUUCUUUAGGAAUCAUUUCUUAAAAAUAGUCCUAUAUUUUAAAGCACAAUUUAUUUUUAAUUGAAUAUCCAAUUCGCUUAUGUCAAAUAUAAAUAAUUGAUUCUUAUGGAAAUUACAAACAGAAAAAGAAAAAUCUCUCCAAUAACAUUACCAAAAAUUAAGGACUGUGAACAUGUGUUGCUUUCCAGAUUUUGUUUAAGAUUUCUGUUAUAAUCUUACCCACAUGUAAAUUGUAACAUAUCCAAUAUAUAGUUUGUCUUAUGAUAUGUUCUCUUAGCCUUAUGCACAAAAGAAUUUUCCCAUGCCACUAUUUUUAAAAACAGUACUAUGAUAUCCGUAAAAUAUUAAAAGAAUGGAUGUAGUAUUAAUUAUUUCCAUGCUUUUAUUUUUUAGAUUAUUUCUUAUCCUUUUAGUAUUAAAAUACCAUUUUUAUGUAGUGAUUAACUUCUUUGCAUCAAUUACUAUCCACAUUUUUUAUUAAUACUGUAUCUUUAAAUUUAUUUUUUUAAUGGAAUUACUGGUUGGAUAGCAUAUGAUUUCUUAAGUUUUAUCACACAAAUGAACAUAAUUGUUAAAAAAUAUAAUUAAAAAUUUUUUCUGGGCUAUUGAUAAUUUGCCCAGAAUAUAUAUAAAUGAUGAAUAAAUAUAAAUGAUAAAUAUAUAUAAAUAUAAAAUGAUUUCAUGCUAGUUUUCAUGUAUUUUUCAUUUUAUUGCAUCAGUUACAUAGUGAAUCCUAAGUCUUCUGUGACAGCAGCUACUGAAAACUGCAUAUUGCUUUAAAGUCUACAGAAUACAGUGUAGCUUUGAGCACUUCAAUAUUUCUUCACUUUUCAUCUGUAACAUGGAUGCAUAAUUUUGCAGUAUAAGCACAAAAAUUUUGCUUUGUUUUGUUUUGUUUUUGUAAGUAGAGGUUUACAUAAAACCGGUAAUCAUAAAAUCUCUUUAUCAUUUCGCAAAAAGAAAAAGCAACUCUAAUCAGCAAGUUUUAAAAUGGAAGGUUAACUCCAUGGAAAUCUACUUUGAUGUAAUAAAUUCCAUCUUGAUGAUUACAUCUUUAAUGUAUGAAAUUCAGAUGGAAAAAUCAAAGUAAAUUUUUUGGACAUCAUGGAAAGCUAUUUCUA
ensembl:lncRNA